UACACACCGCCCGUCACACCAUGGGAGUUGGCUGCACCAGAAGUAGUUAGCCCAACCGCAAGGGGGGCGAUUACCACGGUGUGGUCAAUGACUGGGGUG
rnacentral:rRNA from 1 species